AUUCAGUUGACGAGUCCCAAACAGGACGGAACACGUGUCCUGGAU
rfam:Schistosoma haematobium scaffold586_38, whole genome shotgun sequence.